rnacentral:rRNA from 1 species
UCUGUAGCGGGUCUGAGAGGAUGAUCCGCCACACUGGAACUGAGACACGGUCCAGACUCCUACGGGAGGCAGCAGUGGGGAAUUUUGGACAAUGGGGGCAACCCUGAUCCAGCCAUGCCGCGUGAGUGAAGAAGGCCUUCGGGUUGUAAAGCUCUUUCAGCCGGGAAGAAAAUGCAUGGGUUAAUACCCUGUGCAGAUGACGGUACCGGAAUAAGAAGCACCGGCUAACUACGUGCCAGCAGCCGCGGUAAUACGUAGGGUGCGAGCGUUAAUCGGAAUUACUGGGCGUAAAGCGUGCGCAGGCGGUUU